UUCUUCUUCUUCUUCCUCUGCACUUGGUUUUUCCAUCUGUUCCGACCUCCUUCAGGAAUUCUAUAUGAAUACUCCGCCCUCAACAGCACAGUGACCUUCAUUCCGUGCGUCAACCAAACUACUAUAUACUUCAUGCAAUGACCACAUCACUUUCUACUUCUCCGUUCAGACUCAACCAUCAAUCUGAGCUCGGGCGCGUUUGUUGGAGGCUCUUCUCGUCGGCGCCGCCAAUUGCUCCUCAAAACGACAUAGAACCUCAAUUGAGAUCACUCUGCGAGAGUCCCAAUGCCCGAUUUGCGGAGGCCGCCUCGCUCCUCCACCACGCAAUCGAUUCAGGUUCGCCUCCUUCCAGCUCGACCUGCAGCUACCUCGUCGAUGCCCUGGUAAAGUCCAAGAACUACGAUUUAGUGUUGGCGGUGUACGCGAAGAUGGCGAAUUUUAAUAUUUCUCCAUAUUUUAAGACGCUGAGAGGUGUGGUAGAGUCUUUUGUAGAUGCAGGUAGGUUGGGGCUUGCGUGCGGGGUGGUGGGGUUGGUUCUGAAGCGUGGGUAUAACAUGAAUGUGUUUGUUAUGAAUGUUAUAUUGAAUGGACUGUGUAAAAAAGGCGAGGUCCAGGACGCAGUGGAGUUGUUUCGCAGAAUGGAAAGGAAUGGUGUGAAGCUGGAUGCUUACAGUUAUAAUACACUUGUGAAUGGACUGUGCAAGGCCAAGAAAGUUGAAGAAGCUCGGUUUUUGUUGGUUGAGAUGAAGAGGUUGAACUGUUGCCCGAAUGCGGUGACGUACGCCACUCUGAUGGAUGGUCUUUGCAAGGAAGGUAGACCGGAAGAGGCAUUGAAGAUAAUGGUGGAUAUGAGGGAGAAUGGCCUGGAUGCAGAUGUUUUUGUAUAUGGAGCUCUUAUGAAUGGAUUCAUUCAAGUGGGGAAGUUUGAUCGAGGAAGUGAACUUUUCUACGAGAUGUUGGAAAAAGGGAUUUCUCCAAAUGUCGUCACUUUCGGUUGUUUAGUGCACGGUCUUUCUAAGAUGGGUAAGUGGGAAGAAGCCAUAAAUGUAUUAGAUGCUAUGGCAGAACGUGGGAAUUUUCCUGAUGUUUUUGUUUAUACCAGUUUGAUUGAUGGCCUUUUCAAAGAAGGGAAAGUGAAAAAGGCUUUGGAGAUGUUUGAUUUAAUGGUGAAAAAAGGUCAACAACCUAGUUCCGUUACAUAUAAUGUCGUAAUUUAUGGAAUGUGCAAGGAAGGUCUGAUUAGAGAGGCUUUUGAAGUUUUUGAAACUAUGAGAAUGAAAGGUGAAAAGCCCGAUGUGCAUACCUAUAAUUCGCUGCUGAUGGGACUUUGCAAUAAGGGCAGGGUUGAUGAGGCAUUGCAUCUUUUCAAUCUUAUGGUGAAAGACAAGGACUAUGCCAAGCCGGAUAUCAUGACAUUCAACAUGUUAAUGCACGGACUUUGCAAAGAAAGACGUGUAGCUGAGGCCGAGAACAUUUAUAAGAAGAUGGUUGCAAGGGGGGGUUUUGGUAAUAUAAUUACUCUUAACACUUUGCUCGGUGGGUAUCUAAGUAAAGGAAAUAUAAAGCAGGCUAUGGAAGUCUGGAAAAGAAUCAUUGAGUUGGGACUUGUGCCAAAUCCAAGCACUUAUAGCAUCAUGAUAAAUGCAUUUUGCAAAGGAGGCAUGGUGAGCAUGGCAAAGGGGCUAUUCAACAAAAUGAGAGCUGGCAAGCCUGGUCCUACCUUGUCUGACUGUAAUACCUUGCUGGGUCUUCUGUGCAAAGAGGAUCAGUUGGAGCAAGCGAGGGCUUUAUUUAAAGAAAUAAUAGAAAAUGGUGAACCAGAUCUGGUCACAUUCAAUACUAUGAUCAAUGGAACCUUCAAAGCAAGAGACUUUCAAGCUGCCAAAGAUUUACUCAAAGAAAUGCUUAACCUGGGCUUGGCUCCUGAUAUCUUCACCUUUUCUACGCUGAUAAACAGGUUGUCAAAAGCUGGACUGUUGGAUGAAGCGAAAGAUAUCUAUGAUAGGAUGAUCUCUGUAGGCUAUGCACCUGAUUGUGUUGUGUAUGAUUCCUUGUUGAAAGGCUUUAGUUCAAAUGGUGACGCCAAAGGAGUCAUAAGUUUGCUGCAUCAGAUGUCUGAUCGGGAUGUUGUUCUUGACAAAAAAAUUAUAGCUACCAUUGUUUCUUGCCUAUGUCAGAAUUCCGGUGAUCUUGACAUCCUUGAUCUACCAGAUUUUUCCGAAUCAAAAUCAAGUGCGGGCAUGACAUGCACAGAACUUUUGUCCAAAUUUGGCAAGUCUCACCCUGAUCUUCAAAUAAGCAUUGUAUAACUCUUUGGCUCACUCAUUCUGUAAGUCGCUCCCAUAUUCUCUCCUACGAGAAUCUUUGUUGUUCAUGAAGAGGAAGCCUAAAGCACAUAUGGGUUGAUCAAUAUUGAUAUGAUGGAGCAGGUUUGAAAAAGGUUCUCAGAACUGUUUUGAGAAUAGCUUUCAUCUUGCUGCAUCCGCUGCUAAAUUCUUCUGGAAAGGGAUUCUAAUUGGCCAUAGUAUCCCUGCAUAUUGAAGAGGUCCCAGUCUUUGGUCGUAUUCUCAGUGGGGGCUGUACGGGACAGUUGAAACGCUUGUCCGGAUUUCUUGGAUAAGUGUCAGAUUGUAUAGUCAUGAAUCCCAUACACACUUCAAGAUUGGUCCUUUAGAUUGUUCUUGAUAAAUGUCUUAAUGUUAGUACACCCUCCAGAAAGUCCCAACUGGGAUGGACUUCAUCCUCAUUUAUGUACAUGCCUAUGUGCCAACGCACUAAUUCAUCGACUUAAGCUGGACGGGGCAGCAUGCUAGCUUUAGGGUUCUGGAAAUCUGCGCCUUUCAGUUCUUUUAGCAGAACUUGAACAAGAGCAUUGUGACAGGUAUGUUGUGAUUUUAGAAUGUUGAUAAUAGGAAGUUGUGCUUUGUUAUGUGUUUUUAUGGGAUGUUACCUGUUGGAUGUUUGGAUAGUCCUAUAUCCCAUAGAUGUGCGGCAACAACAAACGUCCAAGUGUAGGUGCUGUGCUUUGAUAUCUUCUGUAUACUCUCAAAUUGACCUUGUUGAGAUGGUUGGAGACUUAAUUGAUGCAGCUGGUAAAGCUGAAAUCAUUUGGACAUUGAUUGGUGCACAAGCAGGUCCCAGAAUGAAAAGAUUUAGGAGGAUCCGGCUGCGCUUCUGCUUCAUCUUCCGUGUUUCAUGGAUAGAGUCACAGGCUUAUUGUAUAGAACGAAACUCCCGGAUAUCUUUGCGCUUCUCGUCGAGAAUGUUGGGCCCACCAGAGAGUAGAGCUAGGCUGACACACCUCCUCAUGUAUGAAUUUGUCUCUCUUGAACGGUCAUCACUCAUAAUUGCUUUAUGCUUCUUUCUUUGAUGUAAUAUACCCAGAAGUACUCUUUUAAGAUUCAUUGCACUGGAUGUUCACCUACCUA